CCCUCCGGGGUGCAGCAGGCGGAUUACUAAGUCAGUGGUGAAAUCCUACGGCUCAACUGUAGAACUGCCAUUGAUACUGUUAGUCUUGAGUAUUGUUGAGGUAGGCGGAAUGUGUCAUGUAGCGGUGAAAUGCUUAGAUAUGACACAGAACACCAAUCGCGAAGGCAGCUUACCAAGCAAUAACUGACGCUCAUGCACGAAAGCGUGGGGAUCAAACA
rnacentral:rRNA from 1 species